GUAUUUUUUUUUUCUUUUCUUUAAUUAAGUCACUGUAAUGCUGUGCUGAAGAGUAUGCGCUUUGAGCCAACCAUUCCUGCCUCAGUCACUUUACUUUCGAAAGCCAAGAAAAUAGAUGGAGGAGUCAGGAUCACCUGACUCACAGUUGGAGUAAGUGAUUCUUGGGACCUACCUAUUUUUGGAAGGAGCCUGGUAACUGGAAUAGGAGCCUUAUUGGAGAGGCCUUGCUUGUAGCUAGGACUCACAGAUGGAACAGGAUUUCUGAAGAUGAAGUGAAACUCGAUGCUUGAACUAGCCUCCUCAGCUGCAAAUUGAUGGAUACAGAGAACCAGCCACAUGGAGUGUUCAUAUGAUUGUUGCCAUCUGUCUUUAAAUAUAACACUCUAACACGCGUCUCUAAGUAACAUAACAAGAAAAUCUCCACCUGGAACCACAAUUCAAGCUUAAGUCUACAUUUCCCAAACAUAUAGAUUAUGGAAAGAUCAAGAACUAAAGAGAACAAGAUAACUUAUGUGAAGAAAAAGUAUGAGUAUUAUAAAAGAAGAAAGGAGAAAUGAAAGAAAGUAGAGAAUUAAUUGAACAGCAGGAAGGAGAUGGACAAUUUCCAAGAACAAUAUAUUCCUCCUACUUGAAAGCUGGGGAGCUUAAUUUCUUCUCUUUCUUUCAUAAUUACUGGGAGA